rnacentral:rRNA from 1 species
AGAGUUUGAUCCUGGCUCAGAUUGAACGCUGGCGGCAUGCCUUACACAUGCAAGUCGAACGGCAGCAUGAUCUAGCUUGCUAGAUUGAUGGCGAGUGGCGAACGGGUGAGUAAUACAUCGGAACGUGCCCUGUAGUGGGGGAUAACUAGUCGAAAGAUUAGCUAAUACCGCAUACGACCUGAGGGUGAAAGUGGGGGACCGCAAGGCCUCAUGCUAUAGGAGCGGCCGAUGUCUGAUUAGCUAGUUGGUGGGGUAAAGGCCCACCAAGGCGACGAUCAGUAGCUGGUCUGAGAGGACGAUCAGCCACACUGGGACUGAGACACGGCCCAGACUCCUACGGGAGGCAGCAGAAGGG